UAGAGAUCUAGGAUCAAACAAACUGACUGCUAUAGAGAAAGAGACUUUUUCGAACCUCCCAAAUCUACAACGCUUAUACUUGAACAAAAACAACAUUAGUUCCCUUAAAUUCAAAACGUUAAGUUGGCCUCCAAAUUUAAAACUACUGGACUUGGAAGGAAAUGAACUGGUUCACAUUGACAUAGAUGCCAUUUCAAGCUUAAUUUCGCUGGA